UAACAUGGCGUGUUGUGUGUUCUCCUAUGUGUAACUUGACAUGUUGUGUGUUAUCCCCGUGUGUAGCUGGACGCGGAGCAGAAGGAGUGGAUGGUGACCUGCUCCACCACAGAGUACCACGACAUGAACCGACUCUUGUCCAAGAACCCGAACCUGGCCAAACUGAAGGACCUAACAAAUGGUGUAAGUAUUGUAUUGUAAUAUUGUAAGUCCUUUGUCUUAAUUAAGUGUAUUGUAAGUCAUUUGUCGUAAGUGUAUUGUCUUACUUGUAUUGUAAGUCCUUUGACUUAAGCAGAUAGUUUCAGUAUCUUUUUACACUGGUCAGCAAAUUUUCAGAGUUUCUGCUUUCGAGCUCAAACAUCACUUUUUUGUGUGCAUUUUAGGGUUCUGAAGAGGAAAAUGGAGGGGAAACUUGACGUAAGUGUAUUGCACACGCACCGUUACAUGAGACCAGGUUACCCUUCAUUGUCAAAUGUGGUCAAAACUCCCUGUGACAAUUUGUUACUUAUAGAUCUACUCUCUGUGAAGUGACAAUUUGUUACCAUAGAUCUACUCUCUGUGAAGUGACAAUUUGUUACUAUAGAUCUACUCUCUGUGAAGUGACAAUUUGUUACAUAGAUCUACUCUCUGUGAAGUGACAAUUUGUUACAUAGAUCUACUCUCUGUGAAGUGACAAUUUGUUACUAUAGAUCUACUCUCUGUGAAGUGACAAUUUGUUACUAUAGAUCUACUCUCUGUGAAGUGACAAUUUGUUACAUAGAUCUACUCUCUGUGAAGUGACUGCUACGGUUAACAAGAUCUAUUGAAAGUGACCAAAAUUGUCUGUUGUAUAUGUCUGUACCAAUGUCUCUUUGUGAAGUCGUUGUUCAACAGUGACUAUUUCUGUUUUUAUUCCAUGCUCCACGGCUGCCUGGGAUGACCGCACCAAUUCUAGUAUGUAAGUAUACAGUAAACAAUUCUAGUAUGUAAGUAUACAGUGAGCAAUUCUAGUAUGUAAGUAUACAGUAAGCAAUUCUAGUAUGUAAGUAUACAGUAAGCAAUUCUAGUAUGUAAGUAUACAGUAAGCAAUUCUAGUAUGUAAGUAUACAGUAAACAAGUGUGGUAUGUAAGUAUACAGUAAACAAUUCUGGUAUGUA